rnacentral:lncRNA from 1 species
UUCAUUCGAUACCCGAACUCGGAAGUAGGGAGACUGGUGUUGGGUAUAAAAUAAUCUCAGCCGAAGUUCGUAAGAGGCCGACCCUCCCAGGACUCUUUCGGCUUCCGACCUUGUGCGACGUCUUUCUGAACUCCCCCAGCCGUCUAAGCUUCCACAGUACCAUCCGGAUUCCCCCAGCAGUCGACCUUCCACAGUGUCCUUCAAAUUCCUCCAACGGACGAACUCCUAUCGUGCCAUC